rnacentral:lncRNA from 1 species
CAAAGAUUGAGUGCAGCUUAAUUUAAAGCCACUGAUAGACCCAACACAGAUGAAUGUCACAUUUAUUUGAUUCAUAGAAGACAGGCCAGAAACAUAAUACUGUGGUUUCAUCUUAUUUAUACAAUAUUUCAAAGUGUAAGAAGCUAAUUGUUGGUGACAGGAUUUAAAAUACUGGUGGCUAGAGAGAUGGCUCAAUGGUUAAGAGUACUUGCUGCCCUUGUAGAGGACCCAGGGUUCCAUUCCCAGCAACCACAUAGUGACUCACAACAAUCUGCAACUCUGUUCCCAGGGAGGAUCCAGUGCCCCCUGCUGGCCUCCUCAGGCACUGCGUGUCCAUGGUGCACAAGGGUAUAUGUGUAUCUAAAACUCCAGUAGUUGUAUACUUAAAAUUAGGAGGAAAUGUGUGUGUGGUGUAAUAAAAUUUUAAGUGUGGGAAGGAGAACUAAUUAAUUGGCUAUAGGAAAAUGAGUUCACUCUGUGGUCAGUCCAACUCUCUUAGAUAGAAAAAUAGCAGAGAAAACUAUAUACCCUGAUAUGGUUUGAACAUGAAGCAACCCCCGAAGGUUCAUUAGUUAAGAGCUUGGUCCUCAGUCCAAGGCACGAAUGGGAAAUGGUAAAACUUUUAAGAGGAAGAAGUUAGAGUAUUGGAGGCAUUCCCUAGAAGGGAUAUUGGGCUCCUGACCUCUUCUCUUCACUCUUUGCCAAUGGUUCUCAAUCUCUGGGUCACGACCCCACAAGGGCCACAUAACAUAUAUUUACAAUUCAUAACAGUAGCAAAAUUACAGUUAUGAAGUAGCAAUGAAAUUAUUUUAAAAGGAACUGUAUUAAAGGGUUGCAGCAUUAGGAAUGUUGAGAGCUACUGCUCUUUGCUUCCUGGCCACCUUGGCCACACACUACCACUAUGGUACAUUGUGCCAGCAUGGCACAGAGCAACAGGGUAAGGCAACUAUAGACCUGCACCUCUGAAAUCUAGAGGGAAGAUAAUCCCAUUUCCAACUGAUUUUCUCAACUUUGUUGUCAAAGAAAUGGAAAGGUAACACAGCACCCUACCAAAUGUCUGACACCUCUUGACACAAGGAAGGUAUUGACUCAUAUGUAUGAUGUGAGCGAACACAAAUGUGGCCCGUAGUGACACUCAUAUAUCCAUGCGACACAUCCAUCCUGGCAUUAAAGUCUCCUCCUCUAUGUCCAUGCCAACACCAUGUUUCUGUACUUGUCCCUUGAAAGUCUCUUGGAAGCUUCCCCAGAUGUUCCUUUCACCUGGUUCCAACUGAAAAGAUAGAGAUGUGGUAAGUCUUAGGUCUGGUUCUCCAUCCUCAGGGUUUCCCUGAUCUGUCUGCUUCAUGACACAAAACUCAAGGACCACAUGUUUUGUUUAACUGAAUCUUGAAUUGUAAAUUGGCCAUCAGUUAAAAUGGCAAUUAGGAUAAAUAUGUAAAGUAUAAAGUGUCGCUGGGCGGUGGUGGCGCACACCUUUAAUCCCAGCACUUGGGAGGCAGAGGCAGGUGGAUCUCUGUGAGUUCAAGACCAGCCUGGUCUACAAGAGCCAUUUCCAGGACAGGCUCCAAAGCCACAGAGAAACCCUGUCUUGAAAAAACCCAGAAAAAAAAGUAUGAAGUGUCUCCAUAAACAAAUAUGCCAGGGUUACUCAUAUGUAUAUACAGGCUGAGCAUGAUAGUUCAUUAAUACCAUUAUAUAAAAAUUCCAGAGAAUGUAUAGCUUAUAAACUGAAAACAAAGAAUAUUAUUUCUUACCGUUCCAGAGGCUUGGAAGUUCAAGACCACCAUGAGAGCAUAUUUGAUGUUUAUCAUAGAUGGCAUUUUCUGUGUCUUCAUGGAGUAGAGAAGACAAAAAGAAGUUAACUCCCUUCCCCAAGCCUUCUAUAAGAACAGUGAUACCACUUAUGAGGACAGAGUCCUCAAGGCCUGGCCACUCCUGCAAUAGUUUAACACUGUCACACUGGGAAUUAAGAUUCCAUGUAUCCUCAAACACUCCCCUGGGAUUUUACAGAUUGGAAGCCAGGGAGAAAGGUUCUCGGGCUGUUUUCUUUCUGCCACUCCAGAAACCUUGCAUCUAAGGUAUCAGAGUCCAAAACAAGUUGUCUGUUUGGAUGAAGACAAGGGAAAACAGAAACCGCAGAAAUAUGUGUGUGAAGUCCAUGUGGUAGCAGAAUCCUGAGUUAACCCCGAGUGACCCUGGUCUGUGUUUGCUGAUUCCUAUUAUUUGUUGUUGUGGAGAGUAUGGUUGUCUCCCUGACCCCUUUCAUUUGCUGGUCUGAGAUUAUUUAUUCCUUGUGGUUCCUUGGGUAGGUUAACCUCUUCAGGUUGAAAUUUUCCUUCUAGCACCCUUACAGCAUUUAAUACUCAUUCUUUGUUUUGUAUAUUGUAUAUACACUUUAUAGUUUUAUUAUAUGCUGAGAGGAAUUUCUCUUCUGGUUCAAUCUAUUUGGUGUCUUGUAUGCUUCUUCUACCCUGAUAGGCAUCUCCUUCUUUAGGUUAGGGAAAUUUUCUCCUGUGAUCUUAUUGAAAACUAUUUCCUCAGCCUUUGACCUGGGUUUCUUCUCCAUCCUCUAUUCCUAUUAGUUGUAGAUUUGGUCUUUUCUUGGAGUUCCAGAUUUCCUGUAUGUUUUGUUCCUGGAGUUUCUUAGAUUUCCUUUGACCAAGUUACUCAUUUCUUUUAUAGUAUCUUCAGUGUCUGAGAUUCUCUCUCCCAUCUCUUGUAUUCUAUUGGUGAGACUUGCCCCUGAGGUUCCUGUUUGAGUUCCUAAAUCUUUCAUUUCCAGGUUUUCUUCAGUUUUUUUUUUUGUUUUUUUUUUUUGUUUUUUUUUUUUGUUUUUUUUUUUGGUUUGGUUUUGGUUUGGUUUAGUUUUGGUUCUUCAAGUCAAAGUUUUUCUGUUUAGCACUGGCUCUCCUAGAACUCACUCUGUAGACCAGGAUGACCUCCUGCCUCUGCCUGCCAAGUGCUGGGGUUAAAGGUGUGCGCCACCACUUCCCAGCUCAGUUUGGGUUUUCUUUAUUGAUUCUAUUUCCACUUUCAGAUUUUGACCUAUUUUAUAUGUUUUCUUCUAUUGCUUCUUUGUGUUUUCAUAGAUUUCUUUAAGGAAUUUAUGCAUUUCCUCUUUAAGGAACUCCAUCAUAUUCAUAAAGGCUAUAUUAAGGUCCUUAUCUUAAGCCUCAGCUAUGUUGAAUUUCUCAGGGCCUCCUGUAGUAGCUGAUGAGCUGAAGUAGGGACAUAUUGUCCUGGCUGUUGGUAAUUGUGUUUUUACACUGGUGUCUAGGCAUUGGGGUUUGGGAGGAUUGGAAUUCUAGCUGCUGUUACCUGAUCUUGUUGUCAUUGGGUGGGCAUUUUGUUCCUUGGAUUCUAUUGUCCUCUCUGGUUCUUAGGAGGGCAUGGUGACUGUGUGUUACCUGGUAGGCAAUUCUGGGACCCUGCCAGGUGUGACCACUGGAGGGCUCUGGGCUAAAGAUGUUUCUAGAUAUUGGGAGCUGGCACUUAGGAAUGGGGAUGGACAAGAGGUGGGGUGGGGCUCAUGGGGCCCACAGGAAGGAGGGAAGCAGGGUGUUCCACUAAGAUCUGUGUAGCUCCCCAGAACUGGUGGCAGAGAGUGAGGAGAGGCCACAACAGAUGGUCUGCUACAGAGCUGGAAAUGACACUGGAGCCUACCUUCUCCACUGGCCUGUGUGCCCUUGGAAUUGUAGCUUUGUGUGUAUACAUGCAUAUGGAGGGGGCAGUGAUUUCAGGCGUGAGACAGACUGGCCCAUGCGCUCCUCUAAGAAGGGAGGAUUUGCUGCCAGGAUCCUCCCUAGUUAAAGAGAGGACUCUCCUGAGAUCCACAGGCAGGGCCUCUCUUAAGACAACCCCAGUAAUGUACCAGCAGGGGGAAAUCUUGAGCUCUCAGCUCCAGCCUUGAACUAUGCUACACUGGUUUGACUCUGCCUAACUCUUCUCCCAGAUUAUGGGUUGUACAUUAUCUGCACCCUAGUUCCAUCCCAGCCGCUAUGUCCAGAUGCCCCACAUGCCACAUGAAACUGUCUUCUGAAUGGCGAAAUGUCUAAGAGAAGACAGGCUUCUAUGAGAUGGAAGACAAUGGUUUUGGUUAAUGUUAUAAUUAACAUUGGUGUCAGAAGCAACAGUGGCAAAGAACUAUGGCAAUACAUUUCCAGAGUGUGUCUUUGUUUAUCAAGGAAAAAAAAAAAGACACUCAGAAUGGAACUCCUGAAUGGGAAAAGAAAUAGUGAAAGACACAAUUUGAAUGAAAAUAGAAAGUUAUUGAAUGUUUGAAGAAAGUAAUCACCAUUUGUCCUGGUUCCAGAUGCCUGUAAAUUAAGAAGCAAUAAAAGCACUAAAAUUGUGAC